rnacentral:rRNA from 1 species
CCUACGGGUGGCAGCAGUGAGGAAUAUUGGUCAAUGGGCGCAAGCCUGAACCAGCCAAGUAGCGUGAAGGAUGACGGCCCUACGGGUUGUAAACUUCUUUUAUACGGGAAUAACACGCCUCACGUGUAGCGUUUCGCAUGUACCCUAUGAAUAAGCAUCGGCUAACUCCGUGCCAGCAGCCGCGGUAAUACGGAGGGUGCGAGCGUUAUCCGGAUUUAUUGGGUUUAAAGGGUGCGUAGGCGGAAGGUCAAGUCUGCGGUAAAAUUGAGAGGCUCAACCGCGUCGUGCCGGGGAAACUGGGGUUCUUGAGUGAGUGGGAAGCAGGCGGAAUUCGUGGGGUAGCGGUGAAAUGCUGAGAUAUGACGCAGAACUCCGAUUGCGAAGGCAGCAUACUGGCGCGCAACGGACGCUGAUGCUCGAAAGUGUGGGUAUCGAACAGGAUUAGAUACCCCAGUAGUC